rnacentral:rRNA from 1 species
AAUUGUGGACAAUGGGGGAAAACCUGAUCCAGCCAUCCCGCGUGUAUGAUGAAGGCCUUCGGGUUGUAAAGUACUUUGGGCAGAGAAGAAAAGGUACCUCCUAAUACGAGGUACUGCUGACGGUAUGUGCAGCAUAAGCACCGGCUAACUACGUGCCAGCAGCCGCGGUAACACGUAGGGUGCAAGCGUUAAUCGGAAUUACUGGGCGUAAAUCGUGUGUAGGCGGUUCGGAAAGAAAGAUGUGAAAUCCCAGGGCUCAACCUUGGAACUGCAUUUUUAACUGCCGAGCUAGAGUAGGUCAGAGGGGAGUAGAAUUCCACGUGUAGCAGUGAAAUGCGUAGAUAUGUGGAGGAAUACCGAUGGCGAAGGCAGCCCCCUGGGAUAAUACUGACGCUCAGACACGAAAGCGUGGGGAGCAAACA